UGUCUCUGCUCUCUGAGAUAAAGGCGCACAGGGUGGUAGCUUCACUCAGAGCGAUGAUCUGCUUGGUCCUAAAGCCAACCGUCCGAACCUCAAACAGCGGUGGCAUUUUAAUAGAGAUUGAGAUUAAAGUAAAUUAUUACUUUUUUGUAGCCUACUUUUAAAUUGUUGGUCUUAAUUUGAGAUGUACAUGCCCAUCUGACGCCCCUGCUUGCACUUAACUCUGUGUGCCUGGUUUCUGAUCUCCGCUCAUACCCAGCUAAAUGCCAAGGGGGGUUUAAUUUGCGCAUUGUGACCGUCGCCGGUCCAGUUACACCUGAACGAAUUACAACUGGAUACCGGUACACGCGCAGCUGGGUCCGAGCCAUGCAGCCAAAGCUCUGGAACAGGUCCGGCUGAAGUACUAACUAAAUACUGGAGUAGCCUACUAAACGACACCCAACAUGCAGGUGUUUACGAGGAUGAGCCGAGGAUCACUGACGAUGGAGUUACCGUAAAAGUCGCUCUGGAAGAUUCAACCGGAUCUCGUGAAAACGAGAGAGCGAAGCGGCCACGAACCUGACGAGUUUAGCGAGUCUGAGGACCGGUGGCCACGAUUUGGUAGGAGUAAACUCGAAUGAGAUGAGUCCUGGUCCGUUACUGGAUGGAAAGAUUGGGCCGAUCCGAAUUCAAGUGGAACACGGACGAGAGGAGAGGGACUUCGAGAGGAGAAGCCUCAGCCAGCAAAGGAGAUGAUCCCAAACUAACCAGCGCUACUUUCGCCUUGACAGGGGACACAACCAUACAGUGGUUUUCUGUUUGGGACAAAACAGCAGCAAUUCAUCUGACCUGAACUCUUCUUCAAAGUGCUCACCAUUCCCCAACUCAAGGCUGUCAUGGUCAUUGAUAACAGACUGUGUCUCUUCUCCUCCCAGAGCAUCCAUCCCAUAGGAUCCCUGAUGGCUAACAAUACAAUAAAUAAUGUCAUGGUCAUAUCCUGACAUAAUGUAAACACUAUACAUUACCCUCUCUCCCUCAGUGACAUUGAUCUCCACUCGUCUCCUCUACACAUUCCAAAGCCAUCUGGCACCUACAGAUAAACAUUAACUUCUGAUCUAAAAACCAGUCUCUUUCAUUCCUUAGAUGAUAUCCUUCUGAUUAUAACAAUGUUCCAAGUUUACCCCAGAAUCUAACAGUGUUUAAAAAUCACUUUAUUUUUUAUUUUUUACUUUGACG
rnacentral:lncRNA from 1 species